GGAGCACUCAGGGAGAAGCAGUGGCUCAUUGGCAGCCCUAGCUGCAGGAAGGAAGGCGAUGGCAGACACGGGCACAGGCACAGCAGAUGCAGCCGGCACCACAAGUCCAGUUCCGAAUGCCCAGGAUGGCCUCGGAAGGGGUUUCUGUCAGGGAACAGGCUGCUGGCUAGGGUUACUGGCAGGCAUCCUUUGUUUGGAGCUCGUCUUCAUGUUGUGCUGCUUUGGAUUCGGGUAUUCCUGGAACAAAAAACAGAACACCUCGGGACAGAAGUUGGAAGACGGUGUCUGCACCUCACAGCCAGACAGCAUGUGCAGCUCCUCCAGCAGCAGUAAGGGCCUGGACAGCCCUCUCAAGUCUUCUGUGAAGAGGACCCCAGAACAACCGUCUACGACGAAGCCUCCUCUUACACUGUAGAUCCCACUGCCACCUGCUCUCCCCAUGGGCCUCCCCAAGCUGCCUUCAUCCCUUUUUUUAUCUUUGUCUGUCCCAUCCCAGCCAACUCGAGUACCUCUAGGGACCCCAGGACCAGCCCAGCACCCUCCAGCCCUUCCUGAGACCAACACAUCCCUCCCUCUG